AUUGAACGCUGGCGGCAGGCUUAACACAUGCAAGUCGAGCGAGCGGCGGACGGGUGAGUAAUGUCUGGGAAACUGCCUGAUGGAGGGGGAUCACUACUGGAAACGGUAGCUAAUACCGCAUACCAUCAGAUGUUCCCAGAUGGGAUUAGCUAGUAGGUGGGGUAAUGGCUCACCUAGGCGACGAUCCCGAGCUGGUCUGAGAGGAUGACCAGACACACAGGAACUGAGACACGGUCCAGACGCCUACGGGAGGCAGCAGUGGGGAAUAUUGCACAAUGGGCGCAAGCCUGAGGCAGCCAUGCCGCGGGUGUGAAGAAGGCCUUCGGGUUGUAAAGCACUUUCAGCGAGGAGGCGUUACUCGCAGAAGAAGCACCGGCUAACUCCGUGCCAGCAGCCGCGGUAAUUC
rnacentral:rRNA from 1 species